rnacentral:rRNA from 1 species
GGGAAACAGCCCAGACUACCAUAUAAGGCCCCUAAAUAUUUGCUAAGUGGCAAAGGAGGUAAAAAUACAUAGACAACCAGGAGGUUGACUUAGAGGCAGUAAUCCUUUAAAAAGUGCGUAAUAGCUUACUGGUCAAGUGUUUUUGCGCCGAAAAUGAACGGGACUAAGCAAAUUGCCGAAUAUGUAGGAUAUUUUAUCGGUAGAAGAGCGUACUGUUUUGGUGCGAAGCAUAUAUGAAAAUAUAUGUGGACUAUGCAGUAGUGAGAAUGUCGGCUUAAGUAACGAAAACAAUGGUUGAAAUCCAUUGCUCCGUAAACCUAAGGUUUCCUUUGCAAGGUUCGUCCACAAAGGGUUAGUCAGGUUCUAAAAUGAUGUUUAAAAACGUAGUUGAUGAUUAACAGGUGAAUAUUCCUGUACUAUAUGUUAUUUGCUAAGAGUGACGGAGACGAUAUAUCAUUCUGAUCGAAUAUUGGUUAUUUCGAUUCAAUAAUUCUUUGUUGUAAAUUUAUUAUAAAAAAUAUUUUGAGUCUAGGGUUAUUGUAAAAGACAUUACGGUGUCAUAAUUGAGUGUUUAUUUACUUCCAAGAAAAACUUUUGUAGUUUAGAAUAGCAUAUACCUGUACCGUAAACUGACACAGGUGGGUUGGUAGAAAAUACUAAGGAGCGCGAUAUAACACCUUUUAAGGAACUCGGCAAAAUGACUCCGUAACUUAGGGAGAAGGAGUGCCCAUUUAAAAAUGGGCCGCAGAAAAUAGAUCCAUGCGACAGUUUAUCAAAAACUCAGGUCUCUGCUAAGUUGAAAAACGAUGUAUAGGGGCUGACGCCUGCCCAGUGCCGGACGGUUAAAGAAAUUGGUUAGCUCACGCGAAGCUGAUGACUGAAGCCCCGGUGAACGGCAGCAAUAAAUAUAAUUGUUCUAAGGUAGCGAAAUUCCUUGUCAGGUAAGUUCUGACCCGCACGAAAGGCGUAACGAUAUGGAUGCUGUCUCAAAAGGUGAGUCGGUGAAAUAGAAUUGACUGUGAAGAUGCGGUCUACCUACACUUGGACAGAAAGACCCUAUGAAGCUUUACUAUAACCUGAUAUUGAUUUUGGAUUUCUUUUGCGCAGAAUAGGUAGGAGGCAUUGAUUCGCUUUUUCGGAAGUUGAUGAGCCUAAAAGUGAGAUACUACUCUUAAAAAAUUUGAAUUCUAAUAAUAUUUAAUUUAGUGAUAUUUGACAUUUUCAGGUGGAUAGUUUUACUGGGGCGGUAACCUCCUAAAAGGUAACGGAGGUGUGCAAAGGUUUUUUCAAUUUGUGUGGAAAUCAAAUGUAGAGUGUAAAGGUAUAAGAAAGCUUGAUUGUGAGACUUACAAGUCAAACAAAGACGAAAGUCGGCCUUAGUGAUCCGACAGUGCCGAAUGGAAGGGCUGUCGCUAAACGGAUAAAAGUUACUCUAGGGAUAACAGGCUGAUCUCCAACAAGAGUUCACAUCGACUUGGAGGUUUGGCACCUCGAUGUCGGCUCAUCGCAUCCUGAGGCAGUAGUAUGUUUCAAGGGUUGGGCUGUUCGCCCAUUAAAGCGGUACGUGAGCUGGGUUCAGAACGUCGAGAGACAGUUCGGUCCAUAUCCGGUGUGGGCGUUAGAACAUUGAAAAUUGCUUUUCUUAGUACGAGAGGACCGGAAAAGUAACACCUCUAGUGUACCAGUUUUGGUUCCAACCGAAUACGCUGGGUAGCUAUGUGUUGAGUGGAUAACUGC